rnacentral:ribozyme from 1 species
UUCAACUUUCAACUCCAAAAAGACAUAAAAAUGGGAAAGGGUGGUGAUAAACCAGAACUGAAGAAAGGUCGCAAGAUUUCCUUGGAAGAGCUUUCUGCGCAUCGCACUCCCGAAGAUGCCUGGUUAUCUUACCAAGGAAAGGUCUAUGAUGUUUCCAACUGGGCAGAUCACCCAGGUGGAUCUGUCAUU